rnacentral:misc_RNA from 1 species
ACCAAAGCCACAACAAAGAUGAUUUCACAUAUAGAGAAAUAAAAUAGCAUCUCAACAUUGACAACAAUCACCUAUUCAUCACAUAAAUUUUAGGAGCAUGAAAAAAUCCACAGGCAUCUGAAGCAAGAACUUGUUGAAUAAGCUUCUAACUGAGAUACUGACAAGCCUAGAAUACCCCACCAUAGUUAGAAUCAUAACAAAGACUGAAACUCUACUUUCUCUAGUGGAUAUAAAAGUUCAGG